GGGGAUGUAGCUCAAUGGUAGAGCGUGUGCUUUACAUGGAUGAGGUCCUGGGUUCAAUCCCCAGCAUCUCCA